AUAAAUAAUAUAUAAUAUCUUUAUUUAUAUGAUUUAUGCACAUUACAUUAUGUUGUACGUCGCUUUGCUCGAAUUUACAGAUUGCCGUAAAGUAAAACAGUUUUCCAGUCGAAUCCUGCUUACAGACGCCAUUGAACGAGCGCGACUGCGGCUCGAAUUAGAAACGAGGAACGCUGUCUCGACAUCACGUUUGUUUUACGGAAGCGUGGAGUUAACGUAACGGUCACAAGUCAUUACGCUAAAUAUCUGAUCCUCCUUCCUUUCGUCCGGACGAUAAAAAUAGGAUGAGCGGCUCGGUGUGAGCAACGUCACUAUCGGCACGGACACGCACACGCGGCUUUUCGCGGCCGCUUAGGGAAACGUCGAAGAAGCCUCGCACCUCGCAAGCUUUCACACUGCCCGUCCGAAUGUAGAAGCCGACUUGUCCUGUGAUUUCCCCGAGACGUCACAUCGUCGCGCGGUAUAUUCGACGCGCUCACGCAGAACGAGACCGAGCAAGGCGUUUCUCCGGUUUCUCGAGAAACGACUCAGACGAACGCGGGACUGAAAGCUCCGCAAGCACAUCGCUCAUGUCUGAUCAGUCUUCGUUAACGCGAGGAAAUCGUCGAGGUUGACGCACAGCGUCCCGUAGAAAUCUAACGGUUACAGAGAAUUGAUUUGCGAGGUAUUCGAGAUGCGUUCUGCAAGCAACGACACACCGCUGACUACAUUAUUAUACGAGUUUUGGCCAAUCGUCGUCGACUGAUUUUUCGCCCUACCCGUAAUAUUAGUCAAAUAAUCGCGUGUCGAUCACGACGUGAGAGCGAACGUGCAAUCGGCGUAAUGGUCAUUGUAAUAAUAACUAGGUAGUCACGAAUAAACAACGGAGAUGUCAUUCGUUAGAGACGAGAAAGCUGUUGCGCGAAUUUGCAUUGUACCGGCCGGUAUUCGGAGCACGAGCGGAGCAAAAUGGCGGGAUCGACGCCGUCGAGCGAAAGCGUACCAGGCUACCGAGAACUUGGAGAAAGAGAGAGAGAGAGAGAGAGAGAGAGAGAGAGAGAGAGAGAGAGAGAGAGAGAGAGAGAGAGAGAGAGGGAGAGACAGGUAAGAAGAAGAAGCGAAUAAAGACAAAAAUGAAGAGGCGCAAGAGGCGAAUGAUCAUGGACGACGACGAUGACGAGAACGAGCCAGGGCACUGAAGCGAGAAGUUGCAGCCGCAGAAGAACAGCAAGCAAGCGCGAAGCAACGCGGAGGAGGCCACACUUGGACCCGACAGAGUUCAUCAGCCAGUCAUACCUCGUUAAAAACGCAUUGUAGACACAUACGACAAGAGGAUUUAUAACGACACGCGACGUACCAACACUGCGGUCGAUCGAUAGACGCCGUCUAACGUAGUGAACAGGUUGUUACAUCAUUAACGCGUUCGCUGGCAGCGUGACGCGUUGCGUAAAACACCCGAUUCGCCUGUCGAGUACAUUUUGCGUGUAAAUUAUUUCACGCGUGCAGACACGCAUCAUGUAUCAAAUACAUCCGCUGAAAAAUAGCGCAGAAAAUAGGGACUUUUUGCAAUACCGUCUCUCAGAUACGGUAAGCGUAAAUCGUGAACAUUAUUCGCUCAGAAAUAACGUCGCAAUGUACGCGACCAAUAGCAUUCACGAUUUAUGUUUACCGUAUCUGAGAGACAGUAUUGCAAAAACUCCCCAAUAUCGUCUCUCAGAUACGGCAAACGUAAAUCGUGAACGUUAUUCGUUCAGAAAUAACGUCGCAAUGUACGCGAUCAAUAGGAGGGAGUUUUUGCUAUACCGUCUCUGGGAUACGGCAAACGUAAAUCGUGAACGUUAUUCGCCGAGAAAUAACGUUAUGAUGUACGCGACCAAUAGCGUUGAUUCACGAUCAAUGUUUACCGUAUCUGAGAGACGGUACUGCAAAAACUCCCCAAUAGCAUUCACGAUCAACGUUUAGCGUGUCUGAGAGACGGUAUUGCAAAAACCUAUUAAGCUAUAAUGAGCGAUUCUCAAUUUUGGGCACGGCGUGGCGAGCGUGUUAAUUAGCCUCUCAUUUGGCUCAUUUCGCGGUGAGACUUUUUGAUGAUGACACACGCGACGAAGAAUGAUACGGAUGACAAGGUGUUACCGUUCACAAGAGAGCUUAGAUCGAUAAGAGGCGGGUUUUUUUUGUCACACAAUACAAGGAUCACACACAUAUACAUACACACACACACACACGCACACACAUGUAACACGCAUACUUUGUAAAAAUAUUUCACGCGAGACUCCUGUACGAGCGUCACGCUGACGAUACAACGAAAGCGCCGCGAAUUAUUUUUAUCUACAUAUGCACAGCCACAUUAAGCUCGUGUCAGACUAGGAGCUGGAGAUUGCGGAUGACAGAUUGAAGAUCAGAAGUUGACGGAUGGGUCGGACCCGAGCGAGUGUCCGGAAUGAAACAUGUCGAAUUCUGGUCUCUGAUCGGCGCGAUCGUCAAUCUCCAGUACCGAGUCUGACAAGACUUUGCAUUCGGAUGUGAGUUAUACGUAUCCUCGACACGAUGAAUCUCUUUUCUUUUCUUUUCUCCCUCCCCCCCUCUCUCUUUCUCUCUCUCUUUCUCUUCCUCGCAGAUGUUUCUCAAAGUAAAAGCAAUUAAUUAUCGCUGAAUUACGCUCGACGAUCGUGAAAUACGAGAGGGAAUAUCCGCGCGGUGACGCCGUUGUGUGUUCUCGUGCGAAGCCGGACAGCACAAAUUUCUGCGAAACGUCCCAGAGACAUCGAAGUAGAAAAAGAAGAUAUCUUUGAGACGUCUUUGGAAAGCUCUCUUUCGGAAAUUUGCGCCGUCCGAGAAGAAUCGGUGUGUACGCACGAUCGAUCGUCCCUGAUAUCGUUCGCGCAUUAUGACGAUGAUUAACGCGCUUAUUAUCCACUCUCGGUCGGAGAAAAAAGGGUUCCGCGUGUACCGCUGCUGCUGCUGCUGCUGUUGCUACUGCUGCUGCAUAUCGAUACGACGAAGGGCCGCAAACAUCGCGCAACAUCGCUUCGAUUCGAUUUACUGCCAAAUCGUGACGCUCCAAAUUGUACACGUUUUACGAUAUCAUGUCGAGCCUAGAUAUAUACAUAUAUACGUACACAUACAUACACAUAAUAUAAUAUAUAAACCAUAAAGAGCAAGGCAAAGGAAAAGAGAUCCACACAAUUUUCUCUCCGUCUGUCUGUCGAUUUGUCGCGAAGGACUCGGACUCCUCCGAAAAAAAAUAGCCGCGCAGACACCCUCCGAUCGCGAGCCCGGCCUUAAGGACGACGAAUGAUCGGCGACUGAAGACAAAGGGAGCCUCACCACGAGAGAGUCUCUUACCCCGUGUACAACUUAUUAUUAGCCUCUCGCGUCUCGUCCGAUCCGCCGCGAGUUCGAUUUCGCGGUGAAAAGAAAAAAAGGACACAUAAAAGGGGAAAUACAAGCGAAGAGAAAAAGAGGAAAAAAAGAAGAUAAUAAGAUCGGGACACUAACGAGAGGUGUACGUAAUGAGCGUUACGUAACACUACGGUACUUUUGCGCGUUCCCGAUUCUCACCCCGUCCCUCCCUCCAUCCACCACCCACCCACCCGUCCUGCAGCUCGUUCCUAUUCUCCCGUCAUCCUCAUUAAUUCCGAAUCCUGAACGUUGCGUUUGUAUACCCUCCGGAUCGCAUCAUAGAGGCGGGUCAUUUAUUACAAUAAUUGCAGAGAUUAUUAUGGCUAUAUAUAUAUUAUAUAUAUAUAUAUAAAUAUAUAUUAUAUAUAUUAGAAGAAUAUUGAGAUACUCUCGUAAUAAAGAACACGCCGACGCUUCCUGUGACCCCUGGAUUAUUUCAAUCGUUCCACCACGUGCGUGCCUCCCGCGUUUGAGUUGCGGCCAUACGAUAGCAACCAACAACAACA